rnacentral:rRNA from 1 species
GAUGAACGCUAGCGGGAGGCUUAAUACAUGCAAGUCAGGGGGUAACAUGAGAGCUUGCUCUUGAUGACGACCGGCGCACGGGUGAGUAACGCGUACACAACCUACCUCUAAGUGGGGAAUAGCCUUUGGAAACGAAGAGUAAUACCCCAUAGCAUUAUUUCUUUUUAUGAUGAAAUAAUUAAAGCUCCGGCGCUUAGAGAUGGGUGUGCGUCCCAUUAGCUUGUUGGUAAGGUAACGGCUUACCAAGGCGACGAUGGGUAGGGGGCGUGAGAGCGUGACCCCCCACACGGGUACUGAGACACGGACCCGACUCCUACGGGAGGCAGCAGUAAGGAAUAUUGGACAAUGGGCGAAAGCCUGAUCCAGCCAUCCCGCGUGCAGGAUGACGGCCCUAUGGGUUGUAAACUGCUUUUAGAUAGGAAGAAACCCCCAUUCGUGAGUGGGGCUGACGGUACUAUCAGAAUAAGCACCGGCUAACUCCGUGCCAGCAGCCGCGGU